rnacentral:lncRNA from 1 species
AACCUCUGCUGAUCCUCUUCUUCCCUCUUCAUUCUUUCAUCUUCUCCACAUAAUCUUCCCUAACCUUCUUCAGUUGUUUCCUUGAUCAGGGAUAACUCCAUGUGAACCAUCUUCGUUUCUUCCACCCAACAUCAACUUCUCAUCAUUUACCAUUUAAAAAUCCCUUCUACAUCACAUUGCCAGAGGAGUUUGCCAUCUCUUUCUAUUGCUUAUUCC